rnacentral:lncRNA from 1 species
GUUUGUCUCUGUUUCCUUCCAUAGCUUAUGACAACUGCUGUGUCAGUUUACUAGUGCUUAUAUUAUAUUUAAAAGCUGCAAUCUAGUGUGAUGAUAUUGCAUGAUAGUUCAUGCAAGUGUAAGUGAUCAUUAGUUUGAAUAAUCAAAUGGAACUGGGGUGAUUCAUAUGUGCCUACAGUAGCAAACUUAGGAAGGGAGAGUAGCCCUCUCCUAAAAUGAUGAUUCAGAAAUUGGUUGAGCAGCAAGGAGAACUGAGAUGGCAGCAUAUUUUGAGAUGGGAUGGAGAGAGCCAUUCCCAAAUCCUGCAGUGUAGCAAAUCUGCAAAAAGAUAAGUAGAAGUUCAUGGUCAUACUUUACAUUAGAUUGAUAUGUUUCUGAAUUUUAAGAAUAACCAAUGUAUAUCUACACUGUAGUCAUAGUUCAAAAUAAUUUAAUGGGAUUUUUAGCUUAGUAAGAUUCUCUUUUGUGAUGCUUCCCAAGUUUUUUUCCAGAAAGAGUUGUUUCCCAAGCUAGUACUUUGUAUAUUCUAUGUAAACUCUUUUUGUACUAUAUUGCAACUUCUUUUUCUUCCCCACCAAGCUAUGAAUUCUUUAAAGGCAAAAACUAAAUCUUACCAUUGCAUCUUCAGCACCUAAAUAUAGUAAAUUGUAGUAAUGAAUCCAACAAAUUGUAGAUUCAUUACAUAGAUUAAUUAUCAGGUUCUACUCUAACUUCAUAAUUUUAAUUGGAAUUAUUUUCCAAAGAAUUGUUAAACUGUAUAACUGUUUCACAUGUGUUAUGUGUGUGUUGUGUUUUCCUUGGAUCUCCGUUUAAAGGGAAGACUUUUGUCAGCUAAAACAGGAAAAUAUUAAAUUUCUGGCCUUAAUUACAUGGAACUUGUUAUCCUAGCUUUAGAUCACUCUUUGUUUAAUAUUAUCUUUAAGAAUAAGCUUGAUCAGUGUUAUUUUCUUUUUAUUGGACUUGGGUUAGACAAUAUAUUUCUUCAGGACCAUUCUAAGCAAAAGACUGAAAUGGGCAAGAUUUGUUUUCUAUAUCAAAGUUUCUUUUUCACCAGAGACCAAAAAAUUUGUUCCCUUUACUUUGGGACCUGCCCAGGAUCUCUAGUUCAGGAUCAGGUGGAGGAAUAACAUUUAUACUUUGAUCUGUGUCAUAAUAACACAUAAUAAUAAAG